UACGAAGGGGGCUAGCGUUGCUCGGAAUCACUGGGCGUAAAGCGCACGUAGGCGGCUUCUUAAGUCAGGGGUGAAAUCCUGGAGCUCAACUCCAGAACUGCCUUUGAUACUGAGGGCCUUGAGACCGGAAGAGGUCGGCGGAACUGCGAGUGUAGAGGUGAAAUUCGUAGAUAUUCGCAAGAACACCAGUGGCGAAAGCGGCCGACUGGUCCGGUUCUGACGCUGAGGCGCGAAAGCGUGGGGAGCAAACAGG
rnacentral:rRNA from 1 species